rnacentral:rRNA from 1 species
UACGAAGGGGGCUAGCGUUGUUCGGAUUUACUGGGCGUAAAGCGCACGUAGGCGGAUUGUUAAGUCAGGGGUGAAAUCCCGGAGCUCAACUCCGGAACUGCCUUUGAUACUGGCAAUCUUGAGGCUGGAAGAGGUUAGUGGAAUUCCCAGUGUAGAGGUGAAAUUCGUAGAUAUUGGGAAGAACAUCAGUGGCGAAGGCGGCUAACUGGUCCAGAUCUGACGCUGAGGUGCGAAAGCGUGGGGAGCAAACAGG